rnacentral:lncRNA from 1 species
GAGUAGUAAGGUCCGGCAGCCGGCAAGGACGGCACGGGGAGAGCUCCGGCUGCGGGCAAAUGGCUCUUGCCGUACGGGUGGUACCUGUUGAGUCCCAAAGUGUGUGGGCUCCUCAAGGACAGGGAGGCCGCAAUCAUGUAGCGGGAGAGGCAGGGAGACGCUCAGAUAUUAACUGGUGCUCGCUGGGUGAUGGUUACUUAUGGGAGAGCCGGUGGCCGCUUUCCUCUGCAGAGCAAUUCACAUUAAAGCACGGCGCGAACAUUAAAGGAAGAAGGAUGAAUGGCGCGAGGGGGAGGAGAGCAUCACCCACUUAUCAAAGCGCUGCUGUGCUGAGGGAUGGGCAGCAGAUCAAAACGCACAGCGUGGCCGACGCCGGGGCACCGUGACAUCACUUCAGACCUCUUUCACUGUUUGCCUUCCCAGCGCUCCACACAGAGCCACGCAACGCUGCUGGGUCAGCCUGGGUUGACCUGGCCUCUGUUUGCACUGCAGCGGUUGAGCGGUGCCUCAGUUUCCCCAUCUGAAGGACUGAGCGGAGCCCCCCCAGCAUUCAGCAUCGCAGCCCUUUGGGGGUGAGGGACCCCUCCCCAUAUCCCAUAGGGCUGCCUCUGCGGGCGCGUCCGGCCCUCAGCAUCACCCAUACCUCUGUUUUUAGUUCUUUGCCAGUGUCAGUUAAUUAAACUAUGCAAAUUAAAACAACUUAAUUUAUAUAAUAUCAGUGCCGGAGCCUCAAACCAUUUGGUGCAGCUCAUCUGGCACGUACGGUACAUAAAAUGUUUGGAGCGGCUCUAAUAAAAAUGAAAAAGGCUGUAAAUCAAGUUUAAUUUAUUCAUUUUCUGUACGGUAUUAAAGCAUGCCAAAAUCAGAUUAUUUAUGAGCCCUUCAUAACAAUAGGCAUUUUUAUUGGUUGCAAAUGACAAAAGGGUUUCUCAGAGGGAUUUUUUUCCUUUAAAUUUUUUGAAUGCCUUUUCAGAAACAUUUAUUUUUUUGGCCGCUGUGAUCUCAAAGAAAAAUAUUUAAUCAUUGAUACAGUAAAAAUAAUUUAUAUUUAGAUGCUGAGAAACACACCAGGCUUUCAGACAUAAAUACACACAG